AUCAUCAAAGCUUGCUUUGAUGGAUGGCGACCGGCGCACGGGUGAGUAACACGUAUCCAACCUGCCGACAACACUGGGAUAGCCUUUCGAAAGAAAGAUUAAUACCGGAUGGCAUAGUUUUCCCGCAUGGGAUAAUUAUUAAAGAAUUUCGGUUGUCGAUGGGGAUGCGUUCCAUUAGGCAGUUGGCGGGGUAACGGCCCACCAAACCAACGAUGGAUAGGGGUUCUGAGAGGAAGGUCCCCCACAUUGGAACUGAGACACGGUCCAAACUCCUACGGGAGGCAGCAGUGAGGAAUAUUGGUCAAUGGACGAGAGUCUGAACCAGCCAAGUAGCGUGAAGGAUGACUGCCCUAUGGGUUGUAAACUUCUUUUAUACGGGAAUAAAGUGAGCCACGUGUGGCUUUUUGUAUGUACCGUAUGAAUAAGGAUCGGCUAACUCCGUGCCAGCAGCCGCGGUAAUACGGAGGAUCCGAGCGUUAUCCGGAUUUAUUGGGUUUAAAGGGAGCGUAGGCGGGUUGUUAAGUCAGUUGUGAAAGUCUGCGGCUCAACCGCAAAAUUGCAGUUGAUACUGGCGACCUUGAGUGCAACAGAGGUAGGCGGAAUUCGUGGUGUAGCGGUGAAAUGCUUAGAUAUCACGAAGAACUCCGAUUGCGAAG
rnacentral:rRNA from 1 species